rnacentral:rRNA from 1 species
GAUGAACGCUGGCGGCGUGCCUAAUACAUGCAAGUCGAGCGAACGGACGAGAAGCUUGCUUCUCUGAUGUUAGCGGCGGACGGGUGAGUAACACGUGGAUAACCUACCUAUAAGACUGGGAUAACUUCGGGAAACCGGAGCUAAUACCGGAUAAUAUUUUGAACCGCAUGGUUCAAAAGUGAAAGACGGUCUUGCUGUCACUUAUAGAUGGAUCCGCGCUGCAUUAGCUAGUUGGUAAGGUAACGGCUUACCAAGGCAACGAUGCAUAGCCGACCUGAGAGGGUGAUCGGCAACACUGAAACUGAGACACGGUCCAGACUCCUACGGGAGGCAGCAGUAGGGAAUCUUCCGAGAUGGGCGAAAGCCUGACGGAGCAACGCCGCGUGAGUGAUGAAGGUCUUCGGAUCGUAAAACUCUGUUAUUAGGGAAGAACAUAUGUGUAAGUAACUGUGCACAUCUUGACGGUACCUAAUCAGAAAGCCACGGCUAACUACG